CCCGGGAGAUGGAUUCGCUGCGCGGGUUCUCGAACAGGAUGCCCGGCGCGGGAGCCUGCCGGAGCGCGGGCCGCGACCCACGCGAGCCGAUCCGCCCUUCCCCACCAGUCUUCUCCCACCUGGACCUAAAUCCCCAUCUCGUGCUUGGCAACACCUAGGGUGGCUGCGUAAGCAAAAGGAGGAAAAGAUGGAAGGAGAAGACAAAGACUCGGCUCGCUCAGCAGCUCGAGAUUUCGAAACAAGACGUCGCCAAACUGCCGACUUCUUUUGCCUUUGGUUCCUUUUUGCAGUAUUAUUAAUAAAGCAAGAAAGAAAAGAUAAGGAUGGAAAGAUUUAACAAAAGGAAAACACAGUCUCUAGUGCAAUUUUUCUUAGUUUCUUUUGUUUCCUCAGCCAUGUUGGCCAUAAUCAGACUGCAGGUUGAAAAAGGAGAAAAGCGGACCCUUCCAAACUGGAAAAUUGAGAAAUUUACGUUCAUCAAUUAACGUGGAGAAGGCACACUAUGGCCGCGAUAGUUCCUUUGAGAAGUACAUUUGGCUGAAAAUCUCAAAAUUCACAGAUUAAUUUCCAGUUUUGUUCUGUCUUUACUCUUAGCCGAGAAUUGGACUUAAAUAGAUGACUUAAAUUUACCUGAGAUAGUAGCGCCCUCUACCGGGAAGAAAUUUUCCAAAUGCUUUGUCAGUGUGGUCCUUGGACCAAAAAAGUUGGCGGCUCCUGAGAGCUUGUUAGAAACGCAGAAUGUCAGCUCCAUCCCAGACCCGCUGAACUAGAACCAGCAUUUCAACAGGAUCCCCAAGUGAUUCUUUUGCACACUAAAGUUUGAGAAUCACUGUUUUGAGUGCUGUGACGUGGAU
ensembl:lncRNA